CUCUCUCUCUCUCGGCUGUAUUUUGCGAACAAACAAUCACCUGUUGACGCAACAAUAAAUCGUUGUUGGGUAACGGUACGACUUCAUGGGAAUUUUGUUUUCAAUUGAUCAAUUUGAUGUAUCUGAAAUUCAGGUCCUUUUAAUAACCGAUGUCAAUGUCAGGAAAUUACACAUCAGCCAUUAAAGCGCCUCGCAGCGACGGUCAAAAUGUCAUGAACUGCACCCAGAACAGCACACACAGUCAGAAGAGGGUGGGAUUAACAGAUAGAGAGAUGCAGAAUAAACCCACUCCGCCCCUCCCAUCUAUUCCGUGCCCUGCCCCAGAACCGCUGGUUCCAGCCCUGUGUUUUUGGCUGCAAUGCAGUCAAGAGUCCGAGUUAUUUCCCAGGAUUCACCGCUGGAUGGCAGCACAUCAAGACGGGCUUUGAUUGACACCUGAGCGCUGUGCAACAAAGCAACCUGCUUCCCUGCAGAUUCAGGAGCUAGGAUUGAGUCGACAUGCCCAAACAGCCGCACGAUAAGGAAAUAUGUUUACAGAAACACUAAUAGGCACUUCUCAUGAUUUCCCCCCAAUAUUUCAGUGCUUUGUUCCUGCACCACGGUCCGGCCCCGGGGCUGACUGGAGCCAUAUCAACAAGCUCCGGCAGUCAACAGACAACAUAAGUUGCCUAUCUCAUCUCCCAGCUCGUGAAGGGUGCGUGUGCCUGGGUUUGAGUGUGUGUGUGUGUGUGUGUGUGUGAAAUCUCUUGGUAUCUCUCCUAGCAGUCGUAGGCCUUUCAAGUGCAUGAGGCAAUAUCACACAAUACUUGCAGGAGGAGGAGAGAGAUGCAAGUGAACUAUCAGAAUAAAGAAGUAGUGGCUUGACAGAGAAUGCCGUUAAAUGUAUUGAUUCAGGCUUCUUUUCUGUUUGUUGUUUGUUUGAUACAGAUGCAAUGUGAAAAUGGAUUGUAAUGCUGAUAUAAGAUUUAUAAUCUGAUUUUGCAGUGUGCUCAAUAAAGUUCUUCACUAUAA